GCCCUGGUAGCUCAAUUGGUUAGAGUGUGGUUCUGAUAUUCCAGGGUUUUGGGUUCAAUCCUCACUCAGGGUA
rfam:Myotis lucifugus cont2.13000, whole genome shotgun sequence.